CCUUCCUUCAGCCUUGGACCUCCCUUCUGGACUACGGACUUUUCACACCCUCUCCGCCUCCUCCUCCCUUACUGCUGUGUUUCCUGUUGCCUCAUCCUGAGCAGAGAUCACACUCCAUUUCUUCCAGCCACUACUCCAUCUUCAAGACAAGUUCUGCACCUCCUGGUGGCUGGAGGAGAUCCCUACACUGACUCACCUGUUCCUGCUUAUCCUCCUGCAGCCUUAAAUAAAUCAUUGUCAUCUG